UACCAGCACCCCGAGUGGUCGGGACGAUUAUUGGGCCUAAAGCAUCCGUAGCCGGUUCUGCAAGUCCUCCGUUAAAUCCAACUGCUUAACAGGUGGGCUGCGGAAGAUACUAUAGAGCUAGGAGGCGGGAGAGGCAAGCGGUACUCGAUGGGUAGGGGUAAAAUCCGUUGAUCCAUUGAAGACCACCAGUGGCGAAGGCGGCUUGCCAGAACGCGCUCGACGGUGAGGGAUGAAAGCUGGGGGAGCAAACCGG
rnacentral:rRNA from 1 species